UACGUAGGGUGCAAGCGUUGUCCGGAAUUAUUGGGCGUAAAGAGCUCGUAGGCGGUCUGUUACGUCGGCUGUGAAAACCUGGGGCUCAACUCCGGGCCUGCAGCCGAUACGGGCAGGCUAGAGUUCGGCAGGGGAGACUGGAAUUCCUGGUGUAGCGGUGAAAUGCGCAGAUAUCAGGAGGAACACCGGUGGCGAAGGCGGGUCUCUGGGCCGAUACUGACGCUGAGGAGCGAAAGCGUGGGGAGCGAACAGG
rnacentral:rRNA from 1 species